rnacentral:rRNA from 1 species
AGGCGUGAUGACGAGGCACUACGGUGCUGAAGCAACAAAUGCCCUGCUUCCAGGAAAAGCCUCUAAGCAUCAGGUAACAUUAAAUCGUACCCCAAACCGACACAGGUGGUCAGGUAGAGAAUACCAAGGCGCUUGAGAGAACUCGGGUGAAGGAACUAGGCAAAAUGGUGCCGUAACUUCGGGAGAAGGCACGCUGAUAUGUAGGUGAAGUCCCUCGCGGAUGGAGCUGAAAUCAGUCGAAGAUACCAGCUGGCUGCAACUGUUUAUUAAAAACACAGCACUGUGCAAACACGAAAGUGGACGUAUACGGUGUGACGCCUGCCCGGUGCCGGAAGGUUAAUUGAUGGGGUCAGCGCAAGCGAAGCUCUUGAUCGAAGCCCCGGUAAACGGCGGCCGUAACUAUAACGGUCCUAAGGUAGCGAAAUUCCUUGUCGGGUAAGUUCCGACCUGCACGAAUGGCGUAAUGAUGGCCAGGCUGUCUCCACCCGAGACUCAGUGAAAUUGAACUCGCUGUGAAGAUGCAGUGUACCCGCGGCAAGACGGAAAGACCCCGUGAACCUUUACUAUAGCUUGACACUGAACAUUGAGCCUUGAUGUGUAGGAUAGGUGGGAGGCUUAGAAGUGUGGACGCCAGUCUGCAUGGAGCCGACCUUGAAAUACCACCCUUUAAUGUUUGAUGUUCUAACGUUGACCCGUGAUCCGGGUUGCGGACAGUGUCUGGUGGGUAGUUUGACUGGGGCGGUCUCCUCCUAAAGAGUAACGGAGGAGCACGAAGGUUGGCUAAUCCUGGUCGGACAUCAGGAGGUUAGUGCAAUGGCAUAAGCCAGCUUGACUGCGAGCGUGACGGCGCGAGCAGGUGCGAAAGCAGGUCAUAGUGAUCCGGUGGUUCUGAAUGGAAGGGCCAUCGCUCAACGGAUAAAAGGUACUCCGGGGAUAACAGGCUGAUACCGCCCAAGAGUUCAUAUCGACGGCGGUGUUUGGCACCUCGAUGUCGGCUCAUCACAUCCUGGGGCUGAAGUAGGUCCCAAGGGUAUGGCUGUUCGCCAUUUAAAGUGGUACGCGAGCUGGGUUUAGAACGUCGUGAGACAGUUCGGUCCCUAUCUGCCGUGGGCGCUGGAGAACUGAGGGGGGCUGCUCCUAGUACGAGAGGACCGGAGUGGACGCAUCACUGGUGUUCGGGUUGUCAUGCCAAUGGCACUGCCCGGUAGCUAAAUGCGGAAGAGAUAAGUGCUGAAAGCAUCUAAGCACGAAACUUGCCCCGAGAUGAGUUCUCCCUGACCCUUUAAGGGUCCUGAAGGAACGUUGAAGACGACGACGUUGAUAGGCCGGGUGUGUAAGCGCAGCGAUGCGUUGAGCUAACCGGUACUAAUGAACCGUGAGG